AAAUUGAAGAGUUUGAUCAUGGCUCAGAUUGAACGCUGGCGGCAGGCCUAACACAUGCAAGUCGAACGGUAACAGGAAGAAGCUUGCUUCUUUGCUGACGAGUGGCGGACGGGUGAGUAAUGUCUGGGAAACUGCCUGAUGGAGGGGGAUAACUACUGGAAACGGUAGCUAAUACCGCAUAACGUCGCAAGACCAAAGAGGGGGACCUUCGGGCCUCUUGCCAUCGGAUGUGCCCAGAUGGGAUUAGCUUGUUGGUGGGGUAACGGCUCACCAAGGCGACGAUCCCUAGCUGGUCUGAGAGGAUGACCAGCCACACUGGAACUGAGACACGGUCCAGACUCCUACGGGAGGCAGCAGUGGGGAAUAUUGCACAAUGGGCGCAAGCCUGAUGCAGCCAUGCCGCGUGUAUGAAGAAGGCCUUCGGGUUGUAAAGUACUUUCAGCGGGGAGGAAGGGAGUAAAGUUAAUACCUUUGCUCAUUGACGUUACCCGCAGAAGAAGCACCGGCUAACUCCGUGCCAGCAGCCGCGGUAAUACGGAGGGUGCAAGCGUUAAUCGGAAUUACUGGGCGUAAAGCGCACGCAGGCGGUUUGUUAAGUCAGAUGUGAAAUCCCCGGGCUCAACCUGGGAACUGCAUCUGAUACUGGCAAGCUUGAGUCUCGUAGAGGGGGGUAGAAUUCCAGGUGUAGCGGUGAAAUGCGUAGAGAUCUGGAGGAAUACCGGUGGCGAAGGCGGCCCCCUGGACGAAGACUGACGCUCAGGUGCGAAAGCGUGGGGAGCAAACAGGAUUAGAUACCCUGGUAGUCCACGCCGUAAACGAUGUCGACUUGGAGGUUGUGCCCUUGAGGCGUGGCUUCCGGAGCUAACGCGUUAAGUCGACCGCCUGGGGAGUACGGCCGCAAGGUUAAAACUCAAAUGAAUUGACGGGGGCCCGCACAAGCGGUGGAGCAUGUGGUUUAAUUCGAUGCAACGCGAAGAACCUUACCUGGUCUUGACAUCCACGGAAGUUUUCAGAGAUGAAAAUGUGCCUUCGGGAACCGUGAGACAGGUGCUGCAUGGCUGUCGUCAGCUCGUGUUGUGAAAUGUUGGGUUAAGUCCCGCAACGAGCGCAACCCUUAUCCUUUGUUGCCAGCGGUCCGGCCGGGAACUCAAAGGAGACUGCCAGUGAUAAACUGGAGGAAGGUGGGGAUGACGUCAAGUCAUCAUGGCCCUUACGACCAGGGCUACACACGUGCUACAAUGGCGCAUACAAAGAGAAGCGACCUCGCGAGAGCAAGCGGACCUCAUAAAGUGCGUCGUAGUCCGGAUUGGAGUCUGCAACUCGACUCCAUGAAGUCGGAAUCGCUAGUAAUCGUGGAUCAGAAUGCCACGGUGAAUACGUUCCCGGGCCUUGUACACACCGCCCGUCACACCAUGGGAGUGGGUUGCAAAAGAAGUAGGUAGCUUAACCUUCGGGAGGGCGCUUACCACUUUGUGAUUCAUGACUGGGGUGAAGUCGUAACAAGGUAACCGUAGGGGAACCUGCGGUUGGAUCACCUCCUUACCUUAAAGAAGC
rnacentral:rRNA from 1 species